rnacentral:ncRNA from 1 species
CCUGCUGAAUUUAAAUAGAUUACAAAGCAGAGGAAAAGAAACUAACUAGGAUUCCAUCAGUGGCGGCCAGCAAAGAGGGA